GAUGUAGGGGAGACUGGAAUUCCUGGUGUAGCGGUGAAAUGCGCAGAUAUCAGGAGGAACACCGAUGGCGAAGGCAGGUCUCUGGGCAUUAACUGACGCUGAGGAGCGAAAGCAUGGGGAGCGAACAGGAUUAGAUACCCUGGUAGUCCAUGCCGUAAACGUUGGGCACUAGGUGUGGGGGACAUUCCACGUUUUCCGCGCCGUAGCUAACGCAUUAAGUGCCCCGCCUGGGGAGUACGGCCGCAAGGCUAAAACUCAAAGGAAUUGACGGGGGCCCGCACAAGCGGCGGAGCAUGCGGAUUAAUUCGAUGCAACGCGAAGAACCUUACCAAGGCUUGACAUGAACCGGAAACGCCUGGAGACAGGUGCCCCGCUUGCGGUCGGUUUACAGGUGGUGCAUGGUUGUCGUCAGCUCGUGUCGUGAGAUGUUGGGUUAAGUCCCGCAACGAGCGCAACCCUCGUUCUAUGUUGCCAGCACGUGAUGGUGGGGACUCAUAGGAGACUGCCGGGGUCAACUCGGAGGAAGGUGGGGACGACGUCAAAUCAUCAUGCCCCUUAUGUCUUGGGCUUCACGCAUGCUACAAUGGCCGGUACAAAGGGUUGCGAUACUGUGAGGUGGAGCUAAUCCCAAAAAGCCGGUCUCAGUUCGGAUUGGGGUCUGCAACUCGACCCCAUGAAGUCGGAGUCGCUAGUAAUCGCAGAUCAGCAACGCUGCGGUGAAUACGUUCCCGGGCCUUGUACACACCGCCCGUCAAGUCACGAAAGUUGGUAACACCCGAAGCCGGUGGCCUAACC
rnacentral:rRNA from 1 species